GUUGGUCAUUUUUGAAAAAUUCCGGACCUCACUGGAUAAGACAAUCGAUUGUCAAAUAUAGAUAAUCGAUUGUUGAUCACUUUUUGAAAAAUUCGUUAUAAAGACAAUGGAUUGUUGAUCAUUGACAAUCGAUUGUUUUGCAGUUUUAUGCGACAUAUGAGAUAACCGACUAGUUUUUCAGGUUAGUCGAUUACCUCUACUGGAAAGUAAAGAUAUUAUUGAUAUUUGAGCAUAUUGAGANNN
rnacentral:lncRNA from 1 species